rnacentral:rRNA from 1 species
UCCAGACUCCUACGGGAGGCAGCAGUGGGGAAUAUUGCACAAUGGGGGAAACCCUGAUGCAGCGACGCCGCGUGAGUGAAGAAGUAUUUCGGUAUGUAAAGCUCUAUCAGCAGGGAAGAAAAUGACGGUACCUGACUAAGAAGCCCCGGCUAACUACGUGCCAGCAGCCGCGGUAAUACGUAGGGGGCAAGCGUUAUCCGGAUUUACUGGGUGUAAAGGGAGCGUAGACGGCAUGGCAAGUCAGAUGUGAAAGCCCGAGGCUCAACCCCGGGACUGCAUUUGAAACUGUCAGGCUGGAGUGCAGGAGAGGUAAGUGGAAUUCCUAGUGUAGCGGUGAAAUGCGUAGAUAUUAGGAGGAACACCAGUGGCGAAGGCGGCUUACUGGACUGUAACUGACGUUGAGGCUCGAAAGCGUGGGGAGCAAACAGGAUUAGAUACCCCCGUA